rnacentral:ncRNA from 15 species
UGACCUUGGAUUAAGUAGGAAUAUCUAUUAAAUUUAAAUAUAUUAAUAAGUAGAGGAAAAGAAAUUAAUAGGAAUUACCUUAGUAAUGGCGAAUAAAGUAGUAAUAAUUUAAAUUUGAAAUUUAGCUUCGGCCUAAAUUAUAAUUUAUAGAGGAAGCUUUUAAUAAAGCACCUUCUAAAUCCCUUAGAACGGGGCGCUAUAAAGGGUAAGAGCCUUAUAUAGUCGGAUAUUGAUUUAAUAUAAAGCUCCUUCGACGAAUCGAAUAAUUUAGGAAUAUUAUUCAAAAUAGGAGGUAAAUUUCUUUUAAAGUUAAAUACUAGCUAGAAAUUAAUAGUAUAUAAAUAGAAUAAUUAAAAGAUGAAAAGUACUUUAAAAAGAGGGUUAAAUAGUAUAUAAAAUUAUUAAAAGGGAAGUAUUUGUAAUUAGAUUUAUACUAUUCUAAUUAUCCGGUAUUUUUACUAAUAUAUUUAGGACGGUUUAAAUUAGUAUCGGUUUUGGUAGGGGGAUAAAGGUCCGGGGAAUAUAGCUCCUCCGAGAAUAUUAUAGCCCCGGGCGUAAUACCUUCACUAGGAUUGAGGUUUAUAUAUUUGUAAGGAUACUAAUAUAAUAGUUAUUAACGAUCUAUUUUAAAAUAUGGAUUAAGGAAUUAAGGUUUUGUGCGAAUAUUUAGGUAUAAAACCUAUAUAUAUAAUGAAAGUGAAUGUAGGUAAGAGUUUUAAUAUAUUAUUAACCGAUUUUAAUGUAUUUGAAUAGAUUUAAAUAAGAAUAUUAAAUUUUAGACCCGAAAGAUAGUAAAUUAUACUUAAAUAGAAUAAAAUUAAAGGAAAUUCUAAUAGAAGUUUAUAAUAAUUUUAACAUAUAAAUCGAUUAUUAAAUUUAAGUAUAGGGGCGAAAGAUUAAUUAAACUAUUUAGUAGUUAGUUAUUGCUAAAGUUUCUUUUAGGAUAGUAGUGUUGUUCUUUAGUUUUAUAAAAUAAAGCGAAUAAUUAGGGACUUGGGGGCGCUUUUUAACCUUUAUUUAUUUUUAAACUUUAAAUAUAUAAGAAGCUUUUAUUAUUUAAUUAAAUAUAGGUAUUCGAAUAUACUAAUAUUAGUAGGCUAUUUUUAAUAAGUAGAAUUAACGAUGUGGGAUAAAUUGAAUGUAGGGUUAAGGUAUUGGAGUAGACGUUUAUUAAAUACUAUAAAAGGUAUUAAUAUAUUUUAAUAGUAGGACGGUAGCUAUAGAAGUUGGAAUUUGUUAAGGAUUAUAUAAUAAUUUAUUUAUUAAAUAUAUUAGCCUUAAAAAUAGAUAGCGUUUAAGCGUUCUAUUUAUACUCCGCCUUUAGAGUAAAAAUAAUACUUUAAGGAGUAAGCGGUUGUAGAGGUUAGUAAUGAAAUUUAGGGCGUAAGCCCGGGUUGAAUAGCCUUUAGUAUAGAUUUUGGUAGUAAUAGUAAAUAUUUUAAUAAGAAUUUGAAGGAUUGAAGUAGGGAAAGGUUCUAUAUAAAUAGCGGUUAAAUAUAGGUUAGUUAAUCCUAAACUAUAGGGAAGUUCCGUUUCAAAGGGGUAUUUGUACUUUGUAUAGCAAAAGGGAAGCCGGUUAAUAUUCCGGUAUUUAGAUAUAGGUUUUGUGCGGUAAUAUAAUUGAAUGCGGAGACGACGGCGGGGGCCCCGGGUAGAAUUCUCUUUUCUUUUUAAUAGUUUAUUACCUUAAAAAUAGUUUAUUUAGAGAUAGGGUUUAAUAGCCGGAAGAGUCCGAUACUUUUGUUAGGUCUAAUACGCUUUCGAUAUUCUUUAAAAAUCCGCGGGAGGGAAUAAUUCUUACGCUAGGUUAUAUUUAUAAUUGUAAUAGGUUUUUAAGGUAAAUAGUUUUUAGUUAAUAGAAUAAUAUAAAUAAGGGAAAUUAGUAAAAUAGAUUUAUAAUUUUGGGAAAAGGAUUAGCUCUAAGGGUUGGGUAUAUUGGGCUUUAGAUAAACGCCCUAGGAGUAGAUUAUUAUUAGCCGGGUAAUUAAUUGGCGGCUUUUAAUAUUUAGGUAUAGAAGCUUUUAGUAGAUUUCGGUUGUCUAGUAUACGUUUAAUAAUUAAUUUAAAAUUAGUAUAAAUAGGGGGAAUUUAAUUAUUUAAUUAAAAUAUAGUAUUAUAAUAGUUAAAAAGUAGUAUUAAUAUAAUAUAAUUUCUAUUUAGUAUUUUGAAUAUUAAAGUAAAGAAAUUUAAUUAAGCGUAGGUAAACGGCGGGAGUAACUAUAAUUCUCUUAAGGUAGUUAAAUACCUCGUUAUUUAAUUAGUAAUGUAUAUAAAUGGAUUAAUAAGAUUCCUACUAUCCUUAUUUACUAUUUAGCGAAAUUAUAAUUAAGGGAAUAGGUUUAGUAGAAUUAGUAGGGAAAAAAGACCCUAUUAAAUUUAAUUCUAAUUUAAUAUUGUAAAAAGAUAUAGGAGGUGUAGAAUAGGUAGGAGCUUCGGUGCUAAUAAAAUACUAUUAUUCCUAUUGUUUUUUUACUUAUUUAAUUAAGCGGGGCUGGAUUUUUAUUUAAUUUCUAAUUUUAAAGUCCUUUAUAGGCCGACCCGGGUUGAAGAUAUUAUUAGGUAGGGAGUUUGGCUAGGGUAGUAUAUUUGUUAAACUAUAAUGUAGGUGUCUUAAGGGGGGUUUAUAGAGAAUAGAAAUCUCUAGUAGAAUAAAAGGGUAAAAGUCCCUUUGAUUUUAAUUUUUAGUAUAAAUAUAAACUAUAAAAGUAUAGCCUAUUAAUCCUUUAGUCCCUCAAAAUUUGAGGUUAGAGGUGCUAGAAAAGUUACUAUAGGGAUAAUUAGCUUAUAGCGGCCAAGCAUUUAUAAUAAUAUUACUUUUUAAUUUUUUAAUAUUGGUUCUUCUUAUUAUACUAAAGUAGAAUUUAGUAAGUAUUAGAUUAUUUACUUACUAAUAGGGAAUAUAAAUUAGGUUUAGACUGUUAUAAAAUAGGUUAGUUUUACCCUAUUAAUAACUUUAUUAUAAUAGUAAUUAAAUUUAGUACGAGAGGAACCGUUUAUUUAAAUAAUUGGUUUUUGCGGUUGUCCGACUAGGUAAUACCGUAAUACUACUAUUUAUUAGAUAAUAGUUAAACGCCUUUAAAUUAGAAUCUAUAUUAGAAUAUAAUAAUAUUUCUAAUAUAUUAUAAAUAUAUAAGAAUAGGCUCCGGCCUUGUAUUUUAGUAAGCGAUUCUUCUAUUAGCUUUAAAGUAACUAGCGGUAAUUUAUAUAUUAUAAUUUUAAUAUAUAUUAGAUUAAAUUCUUUAUAAACGAUUUAAAUAUGCGAAAGGGUCCUAUAAAUAGUAAAGUAGCUUUAUUAUUACAAUUUACUAAGGGUAAACCUUCCUUCGUUUAAAUUUCU